rnacentral:rRNA from 1 species
AGAGUUUGAUCAUGGCUCAGAACGAACGCUGGCGGCGUGGAUAAGACAUGCAAGUCGAGCGAGAUUUUUUCUUGUAGCAAUACAGGGAAAAGUCUAGCGGCGAACGGGUGCUUAACACGUGGGCAACCUGCCGUGAAGUGGGGGAUAGCUCGCCGAAAGGCGAAUUAAUACCGCAUGUGAUUAGAGAGGACAUCCUUUCGAAAUUAAAGUCGGGGCAACCUGACGCUUCUUGUGGGGCCCGCGGCCUAUCAGCUAGUUGGUGAGGUAACGGCUCACCAAGGCUUUGACGGGUAGCUGGUCUGAGAGGACGACCAGCCACACUGGGACUGAGACACGGCCCAGACACCUACGGGUGGCAGCAGUCGAGAAUUUUUGACAAUGGGGGAAACCCUGAUCGAGCGACGCCGCGUGGAGGAUGAAGGUCUUCGGAUUGUAAACUCCUGUCAUUGGGGAACAAGGUGCAUACGUUAACUGCGUGUGUAUUGAUAGUACCCCGAAGAGGAAGAGACGGCUAACUCUGUGCCAGCAGCCGCGGUA